AUUGAACGCUGGCAGCAUGCCUUACACAUGCAAGUCGAACGGCAGCACGGGAGCAAUCCUGGUGGCGAGUGGCGAACGGGUGAGUAAUAUAUCGGAACGUGCCCAGUAGUGGGGGAUAACUGCUCGAAAGAGCAGCUAAUACCGCAUACGACCGGAGGGUGAAAGCGGGGGAUCGCAAGACCCCGCGCUAGUGGAGCGGCCGAUAUCAGAUUAGCUAGUUGGUGGGGUAAGGGUGCACCAAGGCGACGAUCUGUAGCUGGUCUGAGAGGACGACCAGCCACACUGGGACUGAGACACGGCCCAGACUCCUACGGGAGGCAGCAGUGGGGAAUUUUGGACAAUGGGCGCAAGCCUGAUCCAGCCAUGCCGCGUGCGGGAAGAAGGCCUUCGGGUUGUAAACCGCUUUUGUCAGGGAAGAAACGGCUCCUACUAAUACUGGGGGCUAAUGACGGUACCUGAAGAAUAAGCACCGGCUAACUACGUGCCAGCAGCCGCCGCCG
rnacentral:rRNA from 1 species